rnacentral:lncRNA from 1 species
CCUAAACCCAGCAGUUCUCUACUUUUUUCAGCAUAUAUACUUCUUUGUUCCUUGUGUUCUUUCCCUCUCAAGGGAAAAUAUGGAGUUCCCUGUACAGGAAGGAAAACCUACAGCAGCUCAAUGAGAAAUCACAUGAAAUAAUGCAAGAAAAGUUGUUUAACGUAUCCCAGAGAAUGACAUUCCAAAGGGGAAUAUUAGGCAAUGCAAGUGGAAGAUGAAUCCAAAUUGUUGAAUGAUUAAUAUUUUGCGAUGUAAUGAUCAAGAGGUAGGCAUACUCUGGUCCAGAUAACACUAGUCCACACACCCAUACUACGCUCCGUGCCAAAUCAAUUCUAUUCAAGUGUAAAACAAAAUAAAGAACAUGUGGGUGUAGUUAGGUUAUAUUUAUGAUGAUGAAAAAUCUCAAAUGCAUAUUGAAAUUGA